GUGUUGGUUCGCUUGGUACGC
rnacentral:miRNA from 1 species